rnacentral:rRNA from 1 species
GUAGGGAAUAUUGGGCAAUGGUCGGAAGACUGACCCAGCCAUGCCGCGUGCAGGAAGACGGCCCUCUGGGUUGUAAACUGCUUUUAUCUGGGAAGAAAAAGGCCAUGCGUGGCAAAUUGCCGGUACCAGAUGAAUAAGCACCGGCUAACUCCGUGCCAGCAGCCGCGGUAAUACGGAGGGUGCGAGCGUUGUCCGGAUUUAUUGGGUUUAAAGGGUGCGUAGGCGGCUGAUUAAGUCAGCGGUGAAAGACUUCGGCUUAACCGGAGCAGUGCCGUUGAUACUGGUUGGCUUGAGUGUCGGAGGGGUACAUGGAAUUGAUGGUGUAGCGGUGAAAUGCAUAGAUACCAUCAGGAACACCGAUAGCGAAGGCAUUGUACUGACCGACAACUGACGCUGAUGCAUGAAAGUGUGGGGAUCGAACAGGAUUAGAUACCCCGGUAGUCC